UUAAAUUCCCCAAUAAAGUUUUAGGUUUGAAGAGCUUAGAGAAUCGUGGAAUGGUUUGGACUGGGAGGGAUUUUAAAGAUUACCUCAUUCCAUGGACAGGGACACCUUCCACUACCCCAGGUUGCUCCAAGCCCCAUCCAACGUGGCCUUGGGCACUCCCAAGGAUGGGAAUGUUCACUGUUCCUCACUGUGCCUUCUUUUUGCUGGCAGGGAGGUGAAACACCUGAGAUGUGGAGGAUGGAGAAGUCCUGCCAGCUCUGGUUUUUCCCAGGAUUUGCAGUUUAUUCCUCACAGAAGUGGGAAUUGGCCCUCCUGACAUGGCUCCAUCGUUCAGCCCCUUGCACAGCCACAAUGAGGAAGCUUCCAGUGAGGAACACCCUGGUGGUCACCACAGCCGAGACUGGAACUGGGAAUGCUCCACAGAAGCAACCCUGGCACCGUGUCAUGGAUAAAUCCAGGGAAAGCUGCUGGGAACCUUGGGAGGAACUGCAGCUAUUUUCUCACAUUCAUAAAUCCUGAUCCUGGUAUCAUUUAUUUCAAAUUCUCCCUGUUUUCGUUGGAAUGCAUUUAAUUGGCUUGGAAGGAGGAUAAUCUCUUGAAGAAAAACAUGCUUCGCAUGGAAAGAACUCCUUUAAAGCUUGGCAAAAAAAAGCAGAUAAUGGCCAAAUUCUUCGAAUGCUCCAUUGUGCCAAAAACUGCUGGAAUUGGUCAAAUCCUGCCAUCAAAGGGGAGCUGGGAAUCUGCACUGCCUGACUUGCUGAAUCAUUCCUGGGCUUGGAAUGCUGGUUCUGGCACACUGGGAGGAAGAGGAGGUCACUCAGGAGGAAGAGAAGAGAAUUCCAGCAGGGAAUGAUGUUUCCAGGUGGGGAGGGGUGUUAAGAUGGGCUCAGCUCCAUCCUUGUAGGCUCUGCUAAAGCAGUUUUGGGGUUUCUUUGCCACUGGGGAGUGAAGGAACCUUCCCAGCCAUGGUUUAGAGCUCCCUGCACAUUCCAGAGCUUUCCACCUGCUCCAUCUGCUCCUACCUUUCCCUGGGAGUCACCUGUGUCCUGCUGCCCGGAGAGGUGGGGAAAAGGAUGACCUGGAGCAAGUCUGACAGGCCAGGGAGGAGGAAAUCCAGGAUUUAUCCAUGCCCAAGAUUUUCUGGCUGUACUUUUUUUAAUCCCACAAGUUUUAUCACAUAAACACUUCUGGCAAAGACGUGAAAAGCCCCAGCACCUGGAGCUGAGAUCUCUUCAAAACACUGAUUAUAAUUUGUCAAGUGUUCCAUCACCUCUGAGGGAGCUGAGGCCUCACGGAAGGAAAGGCCUAAAAAACCGAUGGGAAACAAAGGUGGAUCUGUUUAAAGUGGGUUUGAGGAGAACUAAAAAGGUGCCCAGAGCAGCUGGGGCUGCCCCUGGAUCCCUGGCAGUGCCCAAGGCCAGG